AGAGUCGGCGCCACGAGGGGGCCGAGCGGGGUGCGGCGGCGGCGGGGCGCUCCGGGGAGGCCAGGGCAGCUGAUGGUUGUGGCAGAAACAUCUCAAGGUAGCUGGUCCGCCCCCACUUCCCCAUCUACCUCUUGUCCUCCCCCCCACACCACCACCACCCUGGCUCCCCUCCCUCAUGACCGCCUGGAUCCUCCUGCCUGUCAGCCUGUCAGCGUUCUCCAUCACUGGCAUAUGGACUGUGUAUGCCAUGGCUGUGAUGAACCACCAUGUAUGCCCCGUGGAGAACUGGUAUGAAGGACUCUGCAGACAACCUCGCUCUAAAGCUUCCUUCAUCUCUGUCCCCUCUUGGGCCUGAGGCUGCCACGAGCCAGACUGCAACCCUGAGUCUCACUGCUCUUCUCUGAAAUUGGUCCCCAGGCAUGGCUUCAUGCCACCUACCCACUUACCACCAUCCCUUUGCCCCUUUGGUUACUGCUUCAGGCGGGCACUGGGGAGUGGGAUCUUCUGUCCCUGUCGGGGAGGUCUGGGAGAGAGUCCUCUUUGAGGCCUGAGGCUAUAGGCCAAGGGCCUGGGGGCAGUCCCUUCCCCCAGUCUACUCCCUGUCCUGCCUGCCAGGUCCUACAACGAGUCCUGCCCUCCUGACCCUGCUGAGCAAGGGGGCCCCAAGACCUGCUGCACCCUGGACGAUGUCCCCCUCAUCAGUGGCCCUGAUCUGCCUCCUGCGCUACGGGCAGCUCCUGGAGCAGAGUCGGCACUCUUGGGUUAACACCACGGCACUCAUCACAGGCUGCACCAACGCCGCAGGCCUCUUGGUGGUCGGCAACUUUCAGGUGGAUCAUGCCAGGUCUCUGCACUACGUUGGAGCUGGCGUGGCCUUCCCUGCGGGGCUGCUCUUUGUUUGCCUGCACUGUGCUC
rnacentral:sRNA from 1 species